rnacentral:rRNA from 1 species
UACGUAGGGGGCAAGCGUUGUCCGGAUUUAUUGGGCGUAAAGAGCGUGUAGGCGGCCAGGUAGGUCCGUUGUGAAAACUCGAGGCUCAACCUCGAGACGCCGAUGGAAACCAUCUGGCUAGAGUCCGGAAGAGGAGAGUGGAAUUCCUGGUGUAGCGGUGAAAUGCGCAGAUAUCAGGAAGAACACCCGUGGCGAAAGCGGCUCUCUGGGACGGUACUGACGCUGAGACGCGAAAGCGUGGGGAGCGAACAGG